UACGGAGGAUCCGAGCGUUAUCCGGAUUUAUUGGGUUUAAAGGGUGCGCAGGCGGGGGAUUAAGUCGGCGGUGAAAUUUUGCAGCUCAACUGUAAAAGUGCCUUCGAAACUGGUUUCCUUGAGUGUAGAUGAAGUAGGCGGAAUUCCUGGUGUAGCGGUGGAAUGCGCAGAGAUCAGGAGGAAUACCGAAGGCGAAGGCAGUCUUCCAAGCCGUUAUUGACGCUCAACUGCGAAGGUGUGGGUAUCAAACAGGAUUAGAUACCCUGGUAGUCCCUGAG
rnacentral:rRNA from 1 species